CCCGUCACAUCACGAAAGCUGGCUGUACUAGAAGUAGCAGCGCUAACCCGCAAGGGAGGCAUGUUCCUAAGGUAUGGUCAGUGAUUGGGGUG
rnacentral:rRNA from 1 species